UUAAAAUUCUUUGUGAUAGGCAUGAAGAUAACAUUUUCAGUUUUUGGUUACAAAUUGAAGAAUGCAUUUAACUUUUCAGUACUGUGAGAGACUUUAACCUGGGGGAACCAGUUAGAUGGUGGAAAAGUUAUCCAUUAGUGACGCUACCUAGCACAACCCAAUCUUCUCCAGGAUUAAAAGCUACAGCCUUCUAAUAAAAGUCUUGUGUUGGACCUAUGGAGCUUACGGGCAGAGCUGGUUUGGUGGAAACGAUAUCAAAAGGCCACUGAAACCAGAGAUUACAUUCUAUGGUGAUGAUGUAGUGUGACCAGUUGGAGAGUUUGUGCAUAAGACAGUUAGGUAGAGUGAGUUUACAUUUCGUUGGAAUCCUUGUUGCAGAUAUACUCGGGUUACAGAUUUGCAGUAGCUGUCAGCAACCAAGAAACCAGUAGCCACUCAAAAUAAAGGACCCACAUGACCAGACAAGUUGGCAAGAUUAUAAAUUCAAGCAAAGUGUGCCAAAGUUCAAGUCUGGAGAUAACAUUGGCAAAUCUUAGACAUUUUUAGAUAUAAGUUUAGUCAGUCAGUGUUAAAUUACGGUCCAUCUGCCCUUUCAGACACAAUAAAGCAUAACUGCCACAUAGAGUAGUAUUAGACCGAUUUUGCUUAGAUUUAAGUUUUAAAAUGACUUCAUGUAUAUACUUUGCAGUCAAAGGCUUUUUGGUAUUUGUAUUUUAUUCUACAUAUCCACUCCAGGAGAACUACGUUCCAACGUAAGUCAAGUCUCAUCGAUAUCAUGUGACAUACCUCAACAAUGAAGAUACGGUGUCGCUCCAGUUACCUUGUUGAUUCAUUUAUUAUGUGUAAUUUAGCAUUUAUUCUACGUUUUAUGUGUAAAAGAUAUAUUAGCUAUUUGCAGCAUUUUGCAAGAUACAACACACUAGUUACAAAUACACUUAACGUAAUCUAC
rnacentral:lncRNA from 1 species